UGUAAUCUACCUCUAACUGGGGAAUAGCCCGGAGAAAUUCGGAUUAAUACCCCAUAAUAUUAUAAUGAGGCAUCUUAUUAUAAUUAAAGCUCCGGCGGUUAGAGAUGAGCAUGCGUGUCAUUAGCUAGUUGGUGAGGUAACAGCUCACCAAGGCAACGAUGACUAGGGGGUCUGAGAGGAUGAUCCCCCACACUGGUACUGAGACACGGACCAGACUCCUACGGGAGGCAGCAGUGAGGAAUAUUGGGCAAUGGGCGAAAGCCUGACCCAGCCAUGCCGCGUGAAGGAUGACUGCCCUAUGGGUUGUAAACUUCUUUUGUAAGGGAAGAAUGGUUCCUACGUGUAGGGAUUUGACGGUACCUUACGAAUAAGCAUCGGCUAACUCCGUGCCAGCAGCCGCGGUAAUACGGAGGAUGCAAGCGUUAUCCGGAUUUAUUGGGUUUAAAGGGUGCGUAGGCGGAAUAUUAAGUCAGUGGUGAAAUCCCGCAGCUCAACUGUGGAACUGCCAUUGAUACUGGUAUUCUUGAAUGUAGUUGAGGUGGGCGGAAUAUGUAAUGUAGCGGUGAAAUGCUUAGAUAUUACAUAGAACACCGAUUGCGAAGGCAGCUCACUAAACUAUGAUUGACGCUGAGGCACGAAAGCGUGGGGAGCGAACAGGAUUAGAUACCCUGGUAGUCCACGCUGUAAACUAUGAUCACUCGC
rnacentral:rRNA from 1 species